GCCUCCGUAGUGUAGUGGCAGUAGCAUGUAUCCCCGAUAUGGAUGAAAAGCGAAUUCGAUUCCCGUCUGGGGCC